GCAGCCGCGGUAAUACGUAGGGGGCGAGCGUUGUCCGGAAUGAUUGGGCGUAAAGGGCGCGUAGGCGGCCUGGUAAGUCUGGAGUGAAAGUCCUGCUUUCAAGGUGGGAAUUGCUUUGGAUACUGCUAGGCUCGAGUGCAGGAGAGGAAAGCGGAAUUACCGGUGUAGCGGUGAAAUGCGUAGAGAUCGGUAGGAACACCAGUGGCGAAGGCGGCUUUCUGGACUGAAACUGACGCUGAGGCGCGAAAGCGUGGGGAGCAAACAGGAUUAGAUACCCC
rnacentral:rRNA from 1 species